CCUACGGGGGGCAGCAGUGGGGAAUUUUGGACAAUGGGGGCAACCCUGAUCCAGCCAUGCCGCGUGCGGGAAGAAGGCCUUCGGGUUGUAAACCGCUUUUGUCAGGAGAGAAAUCUCUUGGGCUAAUACCCUGAGAGGAUGACGGUACCUGAAGAAUAAGCACCGGCUAACUACGUGCCAGCAGCCGCGGUAAUACGUAGGGUGCAAGCGGUAAGCGGAACGACCGGGGGCGGAGGUGGCGGAGGGGGGUGAAAUCCCCGGGCUUAACCUGGGAACUGCACUUGUGACUGCACGGCUAGAGUACGGCAGAGGGGGAUGGAAUUCCGCGUGUAGCAGUGAAAUGCGUAGAUAUGCGGAGGAACACCGAUGGCGAAGGCAGUCCCCUGGGCCUGUACUGACGCUCAUGCACGAAAGCGUGGGGAGCAAACAGGAUUAGAUACCCUAGUAGUC
rnacentral:rRNA from 1 species